rnacentral:rRNA from 1 species
CCUACGGGUGACAGCAGUGAGGAAUAUUGGUCAAUGGACGCGAGCCUGAACCAGCCAAGUAGCGUGAAGGAUGACUGCCCUACGGGUUGUAAACUUCUUUUGUAAGGGGAUAAACUGAGACACGUGUGCCUGUUUGUAUGUACUUUAUGAAUAAGGAUCGGCUAACUCCGUGCCAGCAGCCGCGGUAAUACGGAGGAUCCGAGCGUUAUCCGGAUUUAUUGGGUUUAAAGGGAGCGUAGAUGGGUUGUUAAGUCAGUGGUGAAAGUUUGAGGCUCAACCGUAAAAUUGCAAUUGAUACUGGUAGUCUAGAGUAUAGUUGCGGUAGGCGGAAUGCGUGGUGUAGCGGUGAAAUGCUUAGAGAUCACGCAGAACUCCGAUUGCGAAGGCAGCUUACUAAGCUGCCACUGACAUUGAUGCUCGAAAGUGUGGGUAUCAAACAGGAUUAGAUACCCCAGUAGUC